rnacentral:lncRNA from 1 species
UAUGCAUAAUAGGGAAGUGUAAUAUAAAUGUACCUUUGCUUGUCACUAAAGCUUUCUAGUUAGUUCUUGUCUGUAACAUACACAGUGUUUGAUGGGUUUAUGGGCUUUAAUUACAUGUACUAUGCUUUCAAACAGCUACAAGUAUAGGGGAGUUUGUCCAUCAAUUGGAUUAUCCUUCUGUCCCACAGACUCUAACUUUUGUAUAUACAUGUACAACUACACUUGUACCUCAUGACGGAAAUUUUUUGAACAAAAAAUCUUAUUCAUUUAAUUUGACAUGUUUGAUCAAUGGUCAUGUUAGAUCACCGUGAAUGAUUU